UCACCCCUCAAGCCCUGUGCUUGGUGUUGGACGGCCGGUCGAGCGAUCGACCCCUCCUAAAGACAAUGACGGCGGCCUGUGGUUCCCCCGGUACACUGAGCUUUUCACCGAGCACGUAUCGGACAAGGGCACCCGGGACCCGGUCCUCUCCUUUAAAGGAAACUUCUAU
rnacentral:misc_RNA from 1 species